rnacentral:rRNA from 1 species
UACAGAGGGUGCGAGCGCUGUCCGGAAUCACUGGGCGUAAAGGGUGCGUAGGUGGCGCCGUAAGUCAGGUGUGAAAUUUCGGAGCUUAACUCCGAAACUGCAUUUGAUACUGCGGUGCUUGAGGACUGGAGAGGAGACUGGAAUUUACGGUGUAGCAGUGAAAUGCGUAGAGAUCGUAAGGAAGACCAGUGGCGAAGGCGGGUCUCUGGACAGGUCCUGACACUGAGGCACGAAGGCCAGGGGAGCAAACGGG